AACGAACGCUGGCGGCAGGCUUAACACAUGCAAGUCGAGCGCCCCGCAAGGGGAGCGGCAGACGGGUGCGUAACGCGUGGGAACGUACCUUUUGGUUCGGAACAACUCCGGGAAACUGGAGCUAAUACCGGAUAAGCCCUAACGGGGAAAGAUUUAUCGCCGAAAGAUCGGCCCGCGUCUGAUUAGCUAGUUGGUGAGGUAACGGCUCACCAAGGCGACGAUCAGUAGCUGGUCUGAGAGGAUGAUCAGCCACACUGGGACUGAGACACGGCCCAGACUCCUACGGGAGGCAGCAGUGGGGAAUAUUGGACAAUGGGUGCAAGCCUGAUCCAGCCAUGCCGCGUGAGUGAUGAAGGCCUUAGGGUUGUAAAGCUCUUUUGUCCGGGAAGAUAAUGACUGUACCGGAAGAAUAAGCCCCGGCUAACUUCGUG
rnacentral:rRNA from 1 species